rnacentral:rRNA from 1 species
GUGUCAGCCGCCGCGGUAAUACGUAGGGUGCAGGCGUUAAUCGGAAUUACUGGGCGUAAAGCGUGCGCAGGCGGUUUCUUAAGUCAGAUGUGAAAGCCCCGGGCUUAACCUGGGAACUGCGUUUGAAACUGGGAGACUUGAGUGUGGCAGAGGGGGGUGGAAUUCCACGUGUAGCAGUGAAAUGCGUAGAUAUGUGGAGGAACACCGAUGGCGAAGGCAGCCCCCUGGGUUAACACUGACGCUCAUGCACGAAAGCGUGGGGAGCAAACAGGAUUAGAUACCCUGGUAGUCCACGCCCUAAACUAUGUCAACUGGUUGUCGGGGGAUUAACUCCCUUGGUAACGAAGCUAACGCGUGAAGUUGACCGCCUGGGGAGUACGGCCGCAAGGUUAAAACUCAAAUGAAUUGACGGGG